GGGGAAUAUUGCACAAUGGGGGAAACCCUGACCCAGCAACGCCGCGUGGAGGAAGAAGGUUUUCGGAUCGUAAACUCCUGUCCUUGGAGACGAGUAGAAGACGGUAUCCAAGGAGGAAGCCCCGGCUAACUACGUGCCAGCAGCCGCGGUAAUACGUAGGGGGCAAGCGUUGUCCGGAAUAAUUGGGCGUAAAGGGCGCGUAGGCGGCUCGGUAAGUCUGGAGUGAAAGUCCUGCUUUUAAGGUGGGAAUUGCUUUGGAUACUGUCGGGCUUGAGUGCAGGAGAGGUUAGUGGAAUUCCCAGUGUAGCGGUGAAAUGCGUAGAGAUUGGGAGGAACACCAGUGGCGAAGGCGACUAACUGGACUGUAACUGACGCUGAGGCGCGAAAGUGUGGGGAGCAAACAGGAUUAGAUACCCUGGUAGUCCACACUGUAAACGAUGAAUGCUAGGUGUAGGGGGUAUCGACCCCUUCUGUGCCGCAGUCAACACAAUAAGCAUUCCGCCUGGGGAGUACGGCCGCAAGGUUGAAACUCAAAGGAAUUGACGGGGGCCCGCACAAGCAGCGGAGCAUGUGGUUUAAUUCGACGCAACGCGAAGAACCUUACCAGGUCUUGACAUCCACUUAAACUUACAGAGAUGUAAGGUGUGCUUGCACAAAGUGAGACAGGUGGUGCAUGGUUGUCGUCAGCUCGUGUCGUGAGAUGUUGGGUUAAGUCCCGCAACGAGCGCAACCCUUAUCUUCAGUUACUAACGCGUAAAGGUGAGGACUCUGAAGAGACUGCCGGGGACAACUCGGAGGAAGGUGGGGACGACGUCAAAUCAUCAUGCCCCUUAUGACCUGGGCUACACACGUGCUACAAUGGCCACGACAGAGAGAAGCGAAAUCGUAAGGUAGAGCGGAACUCAAAAAAGUGGUCCCAGUUCGGAUUGUGGGCUGCAACCCGCCCACAUGAAGUCGGAGUUGCUAGUAAUCGCGGAUCAGCAUGCCGCGGUGAAUACGUUCCCG
rnacentral:rRNA from 1 species